CCCCAUUCAAAUCUUGGUUGAUUGGAAAUCCCAAAUCUGUUUACAUGGACACUAACUGAAAUGAUCCAAUCACGCCGUGAGUUUCUAUGCACCAAUAUUACGUCCCCCGGCUCGCUAGGAGAUGUGGGAUUGAGGGAGUAAUGAUGUGUGUUAAAACAAUGAACAUAAACCCAGAGUGUUCGUUGGAGGAGAUUUUUAUUAAGAGCUUUCCUGAUUGUCCUCUAGCUCCCGGUGGAAGGAGGAAAAGGAACAAAAGUAUACAAACAAAACAAAAGUAACAAUGAAUAAUAAUUAAUCAAAGAACUGAAAGCGCCGGAUCAAAGGACCGGUAUAAUAGAACUCAACCGAGGAGAUAUAAUCCCAAACCAAACUCCAGACGAAAAGCUGAGCAGCCCUUUUACCAGGGCUCAGACACACAAAUUUACUAUGAGGUUCUCAAUAACCUAACCGAGUGUAUUCAAGCCUCAAAUAAGAUAACAGUGAAGGGGGAGAAAAGAGUAGUGAGGACACCUCUGUGUCACCACUUCUCAGAGCCUUCCCCCAUCCAAUCCUAGGUUCACCUCAUUUAACAGGGUGAGGUGAUUCCUAAAUGAGGAUCAACUGGUCAAAACUACGGAACGCCUGUAGAUGGGAGCUGUUGGUGGUGCUGCUGAGGCCAUCUAGUGGCCUGUAGCGGCAGUGACUGCAACAACCAAGUAUUAAUCAGAUUAAAUAGGUUGAGCAAGUGCAGAGUUGUCUUUCCCGGAAAAAAAAUGUAAACUAAUAUCAUGUAGCGAAAUGAAAACUGUAAAAACUGAAAAAACAAUUGCUGCUUUCCUGGUUCAUUUUUUCUAUUUAAAGUGCAUGUCAAGUGUGCCUCAGAGUCUUACCCCACCCACGUAUCAAUUUUGAAAACUGCAACAUUAGUAGGCGUUGCCUGGAGGACCGAGAGGGCGGAGCCGUGGCAGUGACGAAGAGACGGCUAACUAGACGAAGCUAGCUCCCUUCACUCUGAGCAGUCAUUAGAAGUGGAGGACGUUUCUCCCCCUCCUUACCCAGACACUCGAGAAGAAAGGGACCAAGUCUAUUUGGAGGAGACAAGCGGACAUGAGCCUUAUUGUUUUGAGCUUGUGAGUUGCCUGAAAUUACUGGAACCGACCCAACAGACCCAUCUCUGAACGUGAUCCUCUGGUGUCUGCAGCUGGUCUCCUGCUGAUGUCGUCGGGAUCAGGAACUUCCAGAAGAAUGUGCCUUUCAAUGACUCUUUCCCCCUUAUUUGUUAUAUUAAUUAAAUAAAUCUCAAUUUA